GAUGAACGCUGGCGGCGUGCCUAAUACAUGCAAGUCGAGCGAACGGACGAGAAGCUUGCUUCUCUGAUGUUAGCGGCGGACGGGUGAGUAACACGUGUAUAACCUACUUAUAAGACUGGGAUAACUUCGGGAAACCGGAGCUAAUACCGGAUAAUCUUUUGAACCGCAUGGUUCAAAAGAGAAAGACGGUCUUGCUGUCUCUACUAGAUGGAUACGCGCUGCUUUAGCUAGUUGGUAAGGUAACGGCUUACCAAGGGUAGCAUGCAUAGCCGACGUGAGAGGGUGGUCGGCCACACUGGAGGGGGGACAGGGACCAGGCGCCUGCGAGAGGCAGCAGUAGGGAAUCGGCCGCAGUAGGCGGGAGCCUGACGCAGCGGGGCCGCGUGAGAGAUGGAGGUCUUCGGUGCGGAAAGCUGUGUUUCUGGGUGUAAACAGAUGUGGAAGUUGAUGUGCAGUGCGUGACGGUAACGGGUAAAGAAGCCACGGCUAACUACGUG
rnacentral:rRNA from 1 species